GAGUUUCACAGUCAAGCCGAGCCCAGCUUGUUUCUUUGUGAGGCUUCACUUCAGCACAGCAACGCUCGGUGCCAAAAGAUGAAGUCAGCCUGGACAGAUCAAGGACGAAACGAGAAGAGAGAAUUGGGGAAGACACAGAACAAAGAGUGGAUCAGCAUCAACCCUCAACUUGAGCCUGUACAGUCAAUGCAUGACAACGCCAGAUCUCAGGCACCAGACCACCGUAGGCAGCGGGAGGAGGAACAGAAGAAAGAGAUGAUACGGACAUGAAGACAGUGUGCUCCCUUCUGCAGGGUCAAGACUAACAGAUUGGCUGUUUGAGGAAAAUAACAAAAGACCAUUCAGAACAUGGCACGGGUCUUCCUACCUUUUCUAGUCUUCUGAUUUAAGAUGCAUUUUUAAAGAAACAAACAGUCCUCCUUCCUUUCUGUGUGAUUACCUUGGGAAGACAAGUGAUUCACUAUUAUGUCUGUAAUGUAUCAAGAAACCUGAGGCUCAGUGAAAGAGUUUCCAAUCCCACUUUAUACCAUCCAUCCAUUAUCGAUACCGUCUAUCCUUUAAGGGUCACGGGGGAGUUGGAGCCAAUCCCAGCUGACUAUGGGUGAGAGCAUAUAACAGGGCAGACAUAUAAAGAGAAACAACCAUUCAAGCUCACAUUCACACCUAAAGACUAUAUCCAAUUGACCUCACCCCAUUCUGCAUGAAGGAGGAAGUCGGAUUACCCAGAAAGAAACCCACACAAACACAGGGAAACAGCCAAGCCGGGAUUUGAACCAGAACCCUUCUUGCUGUUAUGCGACUGUGCCUUUCCCCAUCAUGUACAACCCACUGACACAACUGCAGACUAUAGGGGGAAAUAUGUUCACACACUAAAGUCAAUAGGUGAGACUGUGACUUGAGUGCUCCAGAGAAAAAUGAUACGAGAGCAGAACAUGAAGCAGAGAGAGUUUCCGAUUGAGUGACUCGCACGUUUUCUUGUGGGGCCGUUUUCCACACCGGAUGAGUCAAUCUGCUAAAAGAAAUAUAUUUUUUCCUGUACAAGACGAUUGCAAGAUGAACACGAAUAUGAGUGUGCAGAAGCGAAACGUGUAAUGUUUGCUGCUGCCGAUGAUUCAUUCGUUCCGAUGUUUACAGAUUCUGUACACGUACGGUGAGUGAGUUGGGAGAGGAGCCUCUGAGCGGACUGCAAGUUCAUGUUGCUGAGAUAUAAUCUGUUAUCUGUCACACUGGAAAACAUUCAAUGACUGUUCUGAAGAUUGUCUUGUAUUGCCGGAGGUUUUACCAAUACGGCCGUUUAUGCUCCGAGUUUACAAACUACCUGAUUAACCGACUCAGGUACAGUUUUCUGAUGCUCAAGCUUAAGAUUCUCGUCGCUCUAUUGGAUGAGCUGAUGCACCUCAGAUAGGGAUACAAUAGUAUUGGAUGAUUUUAAUAAUAAGCUAUUAUUUAAAAUGAGACUGUCUGAAGUUGUGGAAAGGCUUAUGGAAAUUGCACAGCACAAAUUUUGAGUGCUAAGGAGACAAAUGAUAAUGGUUUCCAUCCUGUGUCAUUCAGACAUGAUGUAUUCUCGAGCUGUGACACAAACUUUGUCUUUUCUUUGUCAUGAUUUCAAAAUGUUUCAUCACCCUGAGUCACACAGUGCUCCUCCGAGUCCACGGCUACAACCAUUUGCCUCACCGCGCAUCGAUAAGGGGGAUCAAAUGUGACCGAAUGUAAAUGACACGUGUUUUACAGACAGUUAAGCCAGGUGAGGCAGCUCUCAGUGUCAUAUUGUUCUGUUCAGCCAUCAGGCCCCUGUUCCCUGAGCCGACAUGAACCUGGGAAACAUCCAGGCCGACAAAUCUGAAUAUUACUCAUCCUUUCUUAUGUCCUUGAGAUGACAAUAGCUCCUCUGGGAGAGGCAUGAUCAUUAUACAAGGGUCUGAAUACUGUGCCUUUUGGGUUCAAUCCAAAGUCCAGGAAAGGCUAUUGUGCCUUUAGAUUUUUCCCUGUCACGAGGAACACACACUCACACAGUAGACAUCAGCACCCUGCAGCCGCUGUGGUGCCAUCACUGCUGUACCCCUCCCGCAAGGAUCAUCAAGAUAAGGCAUUACCCAAAAUACAGCCUGGUGUUGUCCAAUCAAAUCAAUUGUUCUUGUUUCAAGGAACUCUUUUUGACUGGGGCCCAAUUUGACACGUGGCUAAUUGAGGUUCCAGUUCAAGUCGUUAUCCUUUAAGGGAAUAAAGGAGGAUGAAGGACUUGGGAGGCAGCCUUGGACAACCCCGCCCUCAUGAAACAGAAGAGUGAAGGCUGCAAGGACAAAGUAAACUGUAUCGGUCUGUGGGGAAAGUCAAUUACACCAAAUCCUUUUCAGAGCUGCUGGAGUACUUACUUUGUUUCUCCAACUAUUGGUCAUAUAUUUAAUCUAUCUAUACAACCCUGCUUUGUGGACUGGCUGGAAUUGGUAGUUGCUCAAAAAAAGAUGAUCUAGUAAGAACUUCUUUAUUUUUUUAACUUUUUAGCACUCAAACUUAAUAUUCUGGCCCUGAAAAAAAAUGGCAACCAACCAUAACGUCACAGAUUGGUUUGUGAAAAGCUGUUUGAAACCCUGAGGUUUGAAAUUUUGGCCACGCACCAUUUUAAGAGUUUUGAAAACAGAGCUGACCAUCUUUUGAGGAGCCGGGGGUGGAGCCUGACUGAGAGCUCGAGGACGCUGCUAACCCACCUACACCUGCAGCCUACACCCAUUGGACGUAACUAGCUGUCAAUCACAUGGUAUCCAUGCCCCAAUGCAUACAGUGCUUUACUGUCUAAUUAUUACUAUUUCUAUUGUCAUUGUGCCACUGUUAUUGCAUUCUGAUUUUUGAUGACUGAUAUUGUACAUGAUGUUGAAUA